GACGAACGCUGGCGGCGUGCUUAACACAUGCAAGUCGAGCGGUAAGGCCCUUUCGGGGGUACGACGAGCGGCGAACGGGUGAGUAACACGUGGGUGACCUGCCCUCAGCUCUGGGAUAAGCCUGGGAAACCGGGGUCUAAUACCGGAUAUGACUCCAUGACGCAUGUUGUGGGGUGGAAAGCCUUGUGCGGCUGAGGAUGGGCCCGCGGCCUAUCAGCUUGUUGGUGGGGUGAUGGCCUACCAAGGCGACGACGGGUAGCCGGCCUGAGAGGGC
rnacentral:rRNA from 1 species